GGGAUGAUGACACACCAUGAAGCACACAGCAGGACCAAGGUUAAAGGCAUAAUGAAAUGUCAAAUUGUGGAAAACUAAAUAAGAAUGAACAUUGAAGGGCAAGAUCACAAGCCAUGGGUCUCUGAUGGCAUCAAGAUGACUAGUGAUCAUUGAUGCUCUGUGCGAUGGCUACAGGUGGCAUAGAAUGCUGUGAUGCAUCAAUUCAAUGCUCUAGAGUACGAGGUGAGAAGCAACCAGCAACAGUACGAGGCAAGACAUGAAA
rnacentral:misc_RNA from 1 species